rnacentral:rRNA from 1 species
AGAGCAUACGGUGGAUGCCUAGGCGCCAAGAGUCGAGGAAGGACGUAGCGAGCUACGAAAAGCCACGGGGAGCUGCAAGCAAGCGUAGAUCCGUGGAUAUCCGAAUGGGGAAACCCGCUUAGUAGAAGACUGAGCAUCGCCUACUGAACAAAAUAGGUAGGUAGAGGACAACCAGGAGAACUGAAACAUCUAAGUACCCUGAGGAGGAGAAAGAAACAUCGAUUCCCUUAGUAGCGGCGAGCGAAAGGGGAAGAGCCCAAACCAUGACAAGUCAUGGGGUUGAGGACCUCAAGAAGCUUAAUUGGAGUUAGACGAACAGCAUGGAAAGGCUGACCGGAGACCGUAAGAGUCGGGUAGUUGAAAGCAAAGAUUAAGUAGAGGGAUCCAGAGUAGUGCAGGGCACGUGAAACCCUGUAUGAAGCAGGGGGGACCACCCCCCAAGGCUAAAUACUCCUUGGCGACCGAUAGUGAACAAGUACCGUGAGGGAAAGGUGAAAAGAACCCCGGGAGGGGAGUGAAAUAGAACCUGAAACCGUAUGCUUACAAAGAAUUCGAGCACGAGAGUGUGAGAGUGUACUUUUUGUAGAACGGACCAGCGAGUUACCAUUAAUAGCAAGGUUAAGUCAUAAAGUGAUGGAGCCGAAGCGAAAGCGAGUUUGAAUAGAGCGAUAGAGUUAUUGAUGGUAGACCCGAAACCACGUGAUCUACGCAUGGCCAGAGUGAAGCGUAUGUAAGAGUACGUGGAGGCUCGAACCCACUGAAGUUGAAAAUUCAGGGGAUGAGCUGUGUGUAGGGGUGAAAUGCUAAUCGAACGUGGAGAUAGCUGGUACUCUCCGAAAUAGCUUUAGGGCUAGCCUUAACUAAGUGAGUCAGGGGCGUAGAGCACUGAUGGGAUGCGGGAGCUUCACCGCUUACCAAGUUCCGUCAAACUCCGAAGUCCGACUGACUUGAAAGUUAGGAGUCAGACUAUGUAUGAUAAGAUUCAUAGUCAAGAGGGGAAGAGCCCAGACCGUCUGCUAAGGUCCCCAAGUCAUAGCUAAGUGGUAAAGGAGGUGGAAUUGCAUAGACAACCAGGAUGUUGGCUUAGAAGCAGCCAUACAUUUAAAGAGUGCGUAACAGCUCACUGGUCAAGUGAUUCCGCGCCGAAAAUGAACGGGGCUAAAGCUAUGCACCGAAGCAGCGGCUAGAUGGAGACAUCUGGGGUAGGAGAGCAUUGUAUACACGGAGAAGUCGAACUUGUAAGAGUCGGUGGAGAGUAUACAAGAGAGAAUGCUGGUAUGAGUAGCGAGAAGGAAAGUGAGAAUCUUUCCCGUCGAAAGCCUAAGGGUUCCUGAGGAAGGCUCGUCCACUCAGGGUAAGUCGGGACCUAAGCCGAGGCCGAAAGGCGUAGGCGAUGGACAACUGGUGGAGAUUCCAGUACCACUCAAAUCCGUAUGAGUGAAGCAGUGACACAGUCAGAUAAGGACCGCGCACAGAUGGAGGUGCGUCCAAGCGUGUAGGUAGAGUAUGUAGGGAAGUCCGCAUAUUUGAUGAUCUGAGGCGCGAAGGGGAGCGAAAAUAAGUAGCGAACGGCCUGAUUCUAUACUGUCAAGAAAAGCUGCUAGCGAGGAUGCGAGUGCCCGUACCGUAAACCGACACAGGUAGGCAAGGAGAGAAUCCUAAGACGCGCAGGAGAAUCCCUGUUAAGGAACUCGGCAAAAUGACUCCGUAACUUCGGGAGAAGGAGUGCUCUGGUAUCGUAAGACACUACGCGUGUUAAGCGAGAGAGAGUUGCAGAGAAGAGGCUCAAGCGACUGUUUACCAAAAACACAGGUCUCUGCUAAAGCGAAAGCUGAAGUAUAGGGGCUGACGCCUGCCCGGUGCUGGAAGGUUAAGGGGAAGUGUUAGCGUAAGCGAAGCACAGAACCGAAGCCCCAGUGAACGGCGGCCGUAACUAUAACGGUCCUAAGGUAGCGAAAUUCCUAGUCGGGUAAGUUCCGACCCGCACGAAAGGCGUAACGGUUUGAGCGCUGUCUCAACAGGGAGCCUGGUGAAAUUGCAAUGCACGUGAAGAUGCGUGCUACCCGCGACUGGACAGAAAGACCACGUGAAGCUUUACUACAGCUUGAUAUUGGGUUUUGGGAUUACAUGUACAGGAUAGGUGGGAGACUGAGAACAUUGCACGUCAGUGUAGUGGGAGUCACCGUUGGGAUACCACCCUUGUAAUUCUGGAAUUCUAACUUGUGUCCGUAACCCGGGCAGAGGACAGUGUCAGGUGGGUAGUUUGACUGGGGCGGUCGCCUCCCAAAGAGUAACGGAGGCGCUCAAAGGUUCCCUCAGCGCGGAUGGAAAUCGCGCGAAGAGUGUAAAGGCAUAAGGGAGCUUGACUGUGAGACCUACAAGUCGAGCAGGAACGAAAGUUGGACUUAGUGAUCCGGCGGUACCGAGUGGAAGGGCCGUCGCUAAACGGAUAAAAGCUACUCCGGGGAUAACAGGCUUAUCUCGCCCAAGAGUCCACAUCGACGGCGAGGUUUGGCACCUCGAUGUCGGCUCAUCGCAUCCUGGAGCUGGAGCAGGUUCCAAGGGUUGGGCUGUUCGCCCAUUAAAGCGGUACGUGAGCUGGGUUCAGAACGUCGUGAGACAGUUCG